CCCAUGGAAGCUAUGGUCCGUAAAGCCAAAGCCACCUCCAAGAAACUCCCGUAAAAAUCGUUUCUCUCUAGGUUUUGGUUUUGGUGCUUUUGGAAAAACCACACUUAAUUACUUCCUAAGGAAAUGUCACAUCGAAGAGGAAGAGUACAAAUAGUGUCUCCAGAAGAUGAGUUGGACAAUCUACAACAACUCUUAGACAUACAA